rnacentral:rRNA from 1 species
GACGUAGGGCGCGAGCGUUGUCCGGAUUUAUUGGGCGUAAAGAGCUCGUAGGCGGCUUGUCGCGUCGUCCGUGAAAACUUGGGGCUCAACCCCAAGCUUGCGGUCGAUACGGGCAGGCUCGAGUUCGGUAGGGGAGACUGGAAUUCCUGGUGUAGCGGUGAAAUGCGCAGAUAUCAGGAGGAACACCGGCUGGCGAAGGCGGGUCUCUGGGCCGAUACUGACGCUGAGGAGCGAAAGCGUGGGGAGCGAACAGG